CAGCCCAGGCUUAAGGUUCCAGAUCCACCGCUCAAAGCUUAUGUGCUUACACCAUGGCAGAGAUGCAGAUGUAUCUUUGAAAAGAUCUCCAACCUGAACCUGGCUCCAUCAGCUGGGUCCGCCAUUGGUUUUACACUGCGUAUCUCCCACAGGUGCCGGGGCCGAGCGUGUUUCUGAUGGAGGCCUCUCUGCCCCAGGGAGCCCUUCCAGACACCGUGAUAGCACAGGACUACAGGACUAAACGAUGGACAAAGAACGGUAAAAAAAAAAGACCAGGGGCAUACUCUCCGCUGGGGAGACCCUAUCCAGAACUUGGGAACAAAACUCAGGAUCAGCAGGAUCAGAGCGUUCAUAAAGAGCGGGGAAACGUCAAGUGAGUGGGGACACUCCGCAGUGCCGCCUCCCCUUGUGCCAUGGACGACGUCUGAACCCACGCCCGUUAUGAACAACAGAUUCUACGACACAAAGCACAACACAGAACCGGAUCUGAACUGUUUAUUUCUGACCUCAUGGGGGCUUAAACUCCAAACCAAAACCCCCAGAGUUAGUAUGAAAAAUGGCACAAAAUCAUAUCACAAAACACUCAAAUUAAACUCAGUAAGAACAGAAAAAAAUUCGGAACAAACAUUGCAAGCCCCAUUUGUUUGGAUAAAAAAAAUAUUUGGCCAUUUUAGGCCCUUAUUCCUAUUAAAUGCAAGACCUCUCGCAUGCAGUAAUGCAGAGUCUCCCUGGCACAGUGCAUCUGUGUUUGCUGGGAUUCGACAUAUACAUCUCGUAAGCUGUAAUUGUGCUGAGCUGUUAGCAAUCUGUUCAUUUACCGAGACAAUGAACAUCUUAGGCAAGUUACUCACUGCUAUCUUGUAUCAUGCAUGUGCCUCUUUUGAAUAAAUGGAUGCCAGGUGUGGCAGAAGAUUACA